AUCAUUACAAGUGACCCCGGCUACGGCCGGGAUGUUCAUAACCCUUUGUUGUCCGACUCUGUUGCCUCCGGGGCGACCCUGCCUUCGGGCGGGGGCUCCGGGUGGACACUUCAAACUCUUGCGUAACUUUGCAGUCUGAGUAAACUUAAUUAAUAAAUUAAAACUUUUAACAACGGAUCUCUUGGUUCUGGCAUCGAUGAAGAACGCAGCGAAAUGCGAUAAGUAAUGUGAAUUGCAGAAUUCAGUGAAUCAUCGAAUCUUUGAACGCACAUUGCGCCCCCUGGUAUUCCGGGGGGCAUGCCUGUUCGAGCGUCAUUUCACCACUCAAGCCUCGCUUGGUAUUGGGCAACGCGGUCCGCCGCGUGCCUCAAAUCGUCCGGCUGGGUCUUCUGUCCCCUAAGCGUUGUGGAAACUAUUCGCUAAAGGGUGUUCGGGAGGCUACGCCGUAAAACAACCCCAUUUCUAAGGUUGACCUCGGAUCAGGUAGGGAUACCCGCUGAACUUAA
rnacentral:rRNA from 1 species